AUUGAACGCUGGCGGCAGGCCUAACACAUGCAAGUCGAGCGGAUGAAGGGAGCUUGCUCCUGGAUUCAGCGGCGGACGGGUGAGUAAUGCCUAGGAAUCUGCCUGGUAGUGGGGGAUAACGUCCGGAAACGGGCGCUAAUACCGCAUACGUCCUGAGGGAGAAAGGGGGGGAUCUUCGGACCUCACGCUAUCAGAUGAGCCUAGGUCGGAUUAGCUAGUUGGUGGGGUAAAGGCCUACCAAGGCGACGAUCCGUAACUGGUCUGAGAGGAUGAUCAGUCACACUGGAACUGAGACACGGUCCAGACUCCUACGGGAGGCAGCAGUGGGGAAUAUUGGACAAUGGGCGAAAGCCUGAUCCAGCCAUGCCGCGUGUGUGAAGAAGGUCUUCGGAUUGUAAAGCACUUUUAGUUGGGAGGAAGGGCAGUAAGUUAAUACCUUGCUGUUUUGACGUUACCAACAGAAUAAGCACCGGCUAACUUCGUG
rnacentral:rRNA from 1 species